AGAGUUUGAUCAUGGCUCAGAGUGAACGCUGGCGGUAGGCCUAACACAUGCAAGUCGAACGGGACCGGGGGCAACUCCGGUUCAGCGGCGGACGGGUGCGUAACACGUGAGGAACAUGACUUUCGGCGGGGGAUAGCCGGCCCAACGGCCGGGUAAUACCGCGUACGACCCAAUGGAGACAUCUCCGCUGGGUGAAAGCAGCAAUGCACCGAAAGAGUGCCUCGCGGCCUAUCAGCUAGUUGGUGGGGUAACGGCUCACCAAGGCGACGACGGGUAGCUGGUCUGAGAGGAUGGCCAGCCACAUUGGGACUGAGAGACGGCCCAGACUCCUACGGGAGGCAGCAGUGGGGAAUCUUGCGCAAUGGCCGAAAGGCUGACGCAGCGACGCCGCGUGUGGGAUGAAGCAUUUCGGUGUGUAAACCACUGUUGCCCGGGACGAACAGCCUUUUUCGAGAGGUCUGACGGUACCGGGUGAGGAAGCACCGGCUAACUCCGUGCCAGCAGCCGCGGUAAUACGGAGGGUGCGAGCGUUGUCCGGAAUCAUUGGGCGUAAAGGGCGCGUAGGUGGCCUGGCAAGCGUGCGGUGAAAGCUCGGGGCUCAACCCCGAGUCGGCCGUGCGAACUGCUAUGGCUCGAGCACUGUAGAGGCAGGCGGAAUUCCGGGUGUAGCGGUGGAAUGCGUAGAGAUCCGGAAGAACACCGGUGGCGAAGGCGGCCUGCUGGGCAGUAGCUGACACUGAGGCGCGACAGCGUGGGGAGCAAACAGGAUUAGAUACCCUAGUAGUCC
rnacentral:rRNA from 1 species